AACGGAAUGCUUUUGCUAAGGUACUACAACAGAAGUUAGAAGCCAUUUAUAGCUAAGACUGAGGAUGAGAGCUGGGAGAUGCAUACAGCACAAGGGAAAGUGAUUGAGAGUUAUUCUUGCUGAGUGGAAAUCCAUUUUUUCCUAACUGCCCCCCCUAACAGGAGGUGCUCUGUCCACAGUAGUCAAAUAAAGGGAUGAAUGCCCAGUGUAGCUGGAAUGGAGAACAGAAUAUGAAAUAUGAAAUAGGUGAUGUGGGAUUUUUGUUGUGGUUUUUCAGUCCCAUUAGCCUUCUAAGAAAAUAUAUUUGGAGAGCAAACUUCAGAGAAAGGGUCCAUGAUAAAGUGAUGCAAUUAUAGACAAAAGUCCCAACACGAGUGACUCGCCAGUCUGAAGAUCACCGGACAGGAAAUGUUGCAGCUCCAUCCUUAUCACAGAAACCAGUAAAUUCCUUUGUGGUCAGAGGACAUGUCAGGAGCAGAUCAACAAAGCUGAGCCAAAGUUUGAGUCCUACUUCUGCUUUCCAGAACACAUCAAGAACAUGAGGAAUGUGCUUGCCACAAAGGAGUCCCCUACAGGGACCCAGGAUCUCAGCAGGCAGCAGCAACCAUCUAGGUUGGAAGCUGGAAUAUUGACAAAUGGAUAUUUCAGGUUGAGUGUAAUCUGAAGAGAUAAUAACAAUCAUCAUUUACAGAGAAGUAACCUCACGAUGAACUUCACGAUUAGGUAACUACUUGGGGAAAACAAAUGGAGCCAAAAUGAGGAUUUGAUGAAAGUUAAAAUCCCAGCCUCUCACUUUCAAGUUCAAUAUUGGAUUUCUCAAGACCAGUUACCUCCUGUUUGGUUCAAUUAGCAAAAUGCCAACAUGAUUGUCAUUGAUUCUGACGGUCAAGCUGCCAGGAGAAGAGAUCCCUGUGGGAGGAUAUUUCAGCAUCUUAAGCAGAUUGUGCAUUUAUUAUUCCAAGUAGUACAUAGGAACAGAGCUCAUUCUGCAGUUUUCUAAUUCCUUGCUUAGGAAAUGCUCACUUCCCAUCAUUCUCUGGUGCAGAUGCCCAAGGACUCUCAUGUUCCCUCUUUAGAGCAAGAGAAGAGAAACCAACAGUGGUCAAGACUGGUUGGAACAAGCCUUUGCUUCUUCUCCUGAAUGGAGAACCACAGAACAUCAGACAGAAGGUGGCCGUCAAAGAUCAUUCAAUACAGCCCUCUGGGAUUUAGAGGAAACUGAGUCUCUUCAGUGUAUUCUGCAGAAAGAACAAAUUCUGCAGAGUCAGACAGAGGGCAUCUGAAUCCUGGCUCUUUCACUUACAAAUGUGUAACCUUUGGAGAAUUUCAUAAUUAUGUUCUAAGUGGUAUUUUCAUCAUUAUAAUAUUUUAACCUUUAAAAAAGGAGCAAUGAUAAUACCCACUCUGAAUGUGGUACAUAGAUAACGACCACCCCCCAAGAAAGACCACAUCCUAAUCCCCAAAACCUAUGAACACAUUACCUUACAUAAUCAAAGAGACUCUGCAGAGGAGAUUAAGUUAAGGACUUUGAGGUGAGAGAUUACCCUGGAUCAUUCAGGUGGACCCAUUGUUUUCUCAAGGACCUUUAUAAGUGAAAAGGGAGGUGGACAGUUGACUGGAGAAGGAGAUAUGACAAAAGAAAGAGAGUUUGGAGUGAGGCUGUAAGGGAAGGAUAAUGCAGGGAUCUGCAGGCCAAAGAAUGAGGGUGACCUCUAAAAGCUGAAAGGCAAAGAAAUGGGUUUUGCCCUAUAGUCUGAGAAGGAAUUCUGCUCUGUUGACACAUUUUUAGACUUCUGACUUCCAGAAAGAUAAUAAGUUUGUAUUCUUCUAAGCCAUCACCUUUGUGAUCAUCUGUUACUACAGCAAUGGUAAACACAUACAGUGGAGAUUGUUAACCAGGCAUGCAAGUAGUCUGGAACAACAGCUCACGGGGUGGACACACUGAAUGCUAUUGUUUUUGCUGCAGCUGUGGUUAUUAGCAUUUCUUUUCCCCUUCCUCAUCCUUUUCCUCUUUCCUCCUCCUCCUGCAUCCUUCUUUCCCAUUUCCUUCCUUCCAUCCUUCUUUUCCCUUCUUAUCUCUUUAAAAGUAACAGUAAAGGAAGAAAAGAACCAACAUUCAAUAUGGGCUUGUGUUAGGCAUGGUCCUUGGCAAUAUCACAUGCGUAACCUAAUUUAGUCUUCCAGCAAUGCUGUAUUUUAAUAUUUCCUUCUUACAGAUGAAGAAACCAAGUUCUGCUGAACCCAAGUGAGUUGCUUUUAGACACACUGAGAAUUUGUGGCAGUCCUGAUGCUGUUGAUUAUCCCACGCCCCCCUCAUCGUUAGCAGCCUCAUCUCCAUUCCAAACAAAGAGCUGUUGAUCUGCAUCCUGUGUGCCCUGGAUGACCAGAGCUGGACGGAGCACAGAACUUCAUCACCAUGACAACAGCAUUACCUGCCUGGGUUGUGGCGUGGUCCCCUGUCAGGCUGGAGUGUAGAUGUCAGGGAGAGAUGCUGUGGUGCAGGAAGGUGCUGCCAUCUGUCUGAAGAUACCCAUCUGCUCAGGACAGCAAAUAGCUCAUUGCAUCCCAGCCACUUCCGAUAAGCACCUUUUGCUCAGUUCAGGGGAAAAGAAUAAUGACCACCAUUUAUCAAACACCUGUAGGGUGUUAGGCAUGUGUGGGCUUUUUUCCCCUCUGCUUCAUGUUAUAAUUCUGUGAGGUGGGUAUUGUUCUUCCCAUUUAUAGGGAGGAAACUGAGGCACAGAGAGAAUGGCCUUACCCACUCACCCACGAAGCAGCAAGCUGGAGUCCAGCCAGGUGUGCUCAGAGACCAAGGGCAAACCCUCCCCAGCUGGUUACACUCCUUGUUCCCCAAAGACAGUCAUGGUGGGUCCCCAAAGGCCUUGAGUCUAACAAAGCACUAGGUUCAUUAAUCACUUCCUUUAUCCUCUUGCCCCUUUCCCUACCUCCUUCUUCUUGGGUCACUGCAUCGUUUGACAGUUUUUACGUAAGUACUGGCACCAGGGGCUGAAAUGGGGAGGCUGGCACAUGUGGAUGGAAUGAAGAGUCUGCAGAGCUGAGGAGGGAGGCUUGAGCGAGUUAGUGCAGAGGUCCAGUUCAGGGGGACUGCCCUCCACCUCGACCACAGACUCAGCCUGGAACUUGGGACCCUGGGCUGUCAUUCUGUGGACUUCUCUGCUUGAAGGCCUAGCAAUGGCUGGGUAGAUGGAAGGCAGAGGGGUGGGGAGGGUAGGAGUCUAGCUUAGAACUGAAUAGAUCUGGACUUUAGGCUCGAAUGCUACUCAGGAGCUGUGUUGCUUUGGGCAAGUUGCCUCACAACCCUGAGCCUGUUUCCUCUUUUGUAGAAAGUGCCUAGAGUUGUGAGGACCCAACAGCCAGAAGGGGCCAUAGAGGAUAGCUUACCCCACCAGGCAUUUGGACCCAAAGGAACUGAGGCUCAGAAACAAGGAAUAAUUGGCCAGAGAUCACCUGGCCACCAGCAAGACAGCAUUCAGAGAACACUGGAAAGUUAUAAACUCACAUUGCUGUCUGAGGGGAACAAGUCUGUCAUUUGCUUAGCUGCUCAGUGUUGUGGUCAUGUUCUCAGUUUACUCAUGACACCAGACAUAAGGGCUAAGUGAGCUCGAUUAGCCAAGUCUAGCCGCCACCCCUAUCUGCAGCCAAGAAUCACAGCCUGAGAGCCAGCAGUCUUCAGCAGAGGUGUCAUUCCCAAGCACUUCAGGAGAAAUAGGCUCUUCACUUUGCUGUUUGAAAGGGACUCGGAAAGAAAAUGAACAAAUGCAUCAAGGAAGAUUUUAUCUUGACCUAAACUUCAGACAUUAGAGACAUUGUCAUGGGUCACCAGGCUGCAAAAUUUCUUCAGUUGGGAUAACUGCAUUGUAACAGUGGAGUUUCAAGUGUCCAUUCUUUUCUCUGAAAAGUAAAAAGUUAAUAAUAAGAUGAUAAUUCUAAUGAUGGCGAUGAUAAUGAUAAGCAAGGAGUGGGCUAAAUGCUAUAACAAAGAUGUCCAGGGUGGCUUAGCAAUGUCAGGAUUCCCAGUGGGGCAGUCCUCCUGGGCGCUGUGGCUCCAAUGAAUAUUUAAGCUUGGAAAGCCCUCAUACUCAUCACUAGAAUUCCAGGCUUCAUGCAGAAGGGAGAGAGAGAAUAUGGUGAACUUUUAUCUUCUAUUUAAAUUCCUUGGUAUGAAGUUUACAAAAUGCACUUCUGCUCAUAUUAUCCAAAAAUGAGUAACAGGGUCCCACAUAGAGUAAUGCCAGGAGGUUGGGGACAUACAACCAAUGGCUUGGCAACUAUUUCCUAGCAACCACUCUGAACUGUAGUACAGGAAUGUGAAUAUCUGGUAGUCUGAUCUGUCGUAUGCAUUGAUAUGUGUUGGGCACUUUCCGAGGUUCAUUCACAUAAUACUUUUUUAUUAUAAGUAAAAGACAUAUUGUGUCAACUGCUUUUUCUUUCUAUUACAUAGGAUUGUAGUGAGUUAAAUAGGUAAAUAAAUGCAAAAUGCUUUGAAUAAGGAAAGCACCUAGCAAGCAUAAUGGUUGAUAGCUAUUAGUAUUUUGGCUAUAUAGUUUGAAAAAAACAGGCCAUUAGUUUUAGUUUUAAUGGUGAUUCAAGGCUCUAGCAAGACCCUGUUCUAUGUUGAAAUUCAAUUCAGUCCAUUUGGUUCAAUAGACAUUUAUUCAGUGUGCCUGUAGCGUUUCCCAGGAAGGCCUGUGGCUGUCUCAUCUUCUUUGAUGUAUUAGAAGUCCAUAAACUAUCUGAAGUUUCACUAAAUAAAAGGGAUAAAGGAAUAUUCCACUUUAUGUUCAGUAAUCAACAUGUCCAAAUUCUAAAUGAAUCCUCAGACCAAAGUGAUUUUUGUGGUGUUGGGGCAACUGCUAGCAAAGUUCACCAAUUUCUUUCCUAUCUUUAACGGUAUGAAUUUCCUACAUCUGCCACAACGGAAGACUACAAUUUUGAUAGCUUAAAUGACAUAAAUUUAUUGUCUCACAGUUAUGGAUGCUAGAAAUCUAAAAUCAAAAUGCUGACAUGGUUAAUUCCUUCUGGCGGCUCUGAAGGCAAGUGUGCUCCAUGCCUUUCUCCUAGCCUCAGGUGGCUGCUGGCAACCCUGUGUUCCCUCUGCAGUUGUAUCAGUGGGUUAGAGACUCACCCUCAUCCAGUAUGAACUCAUAGUAACUUGCAUACAUCUGCAAAGCUUCUGUUUCCAGAUGAAUUCAUAUUCACAGAUACCAGGCAUGAGGACAUGAACAUAUUUUUCUGAUGAACACAAAUCAACCCAUAGCCUUAAGCAAAUAGAUUUUACUGAAAAGCUACUAAUUUUAAUAACAAUAAUGUAAUAACAGCAAAUUUUAAUUACGUGAUUGCUGAGGUACUGACCGGGCACUGAGUUAGGGACUUUAUUGGUUAGAUAUAACCUUAUUUAAUCCAACCCCCCAACCUCUGUUAUUAUUACUAUCAUCAUCACCAUCAUCAUCAUCAUCACACCAUUUUUACAUGAGAGAGACUGAGAUGCAGAGAGCUAUGAUAACUUGCCCUAGGCAAGUUGGCAAGAAACUAGAACUGGAAUAAAGUCAAUGUGAGUCCAGAACCAGUAGUCUCAUCCAAUAUAUGAGACAAGUGACAUCUGUUUUCAAACCAGCAAUUGUCCCAGAAACCAGUAGAAAGAUAGACUCUCCCUCCUGUUGCAACCCAGCCUAUGGGGUUCUUUUCUUGCUGCUGCUUAUGUUUUCCAUUUGAACUUUCCUGCCUAAGUGGAUGUGCUUUCCCCAGUUGUCACCUCAGAGCUCUCAGAAUAGUUGCAGCUCUUCUCUGGCUCGGUUAAUCACAGCCAAAGAUUAGCUGAAGCAUUCCCUGGAGCUGGAUUCUUGCUCAAGACAAAUCUUCAACGCCAGCUUCCUUCCUUGGAAUCUUGGGUUGAUGUGCUGCAUAACUGCAAAGAAGAAAGAGGCUUUCUGUCUUUCCAAUUUGGCCUCAAUGUUUAUAUUGUGCUUUACUAAGAAUUCGCAUGAUUAUUUCUCCCACCCAGAGGGAAAUCAGAAAUUACUAUUUUGGUGGGAUGCAGACAACUUUUGUUCUUUCAUUUCAGGUUUUAUAUAUUAUAAAAAUUGUCUGUUCAACAAGUAAAUUUAAAAAAUGUAUAAAGGCAUAGCUAAUGAUCCCUUCCUCAGUGAUACAACCAUUUCCAUGUCUCUAAAGUAGACAAUGUUAAUGAACUUAUGUGUACCCCCCCAUUUUUCCCCUUGUCUUAUAUACAUAUUAUAUAAAAUAAUGUAAAGGUUUAGUUAGAUUUCUUUUUCACCAAAUAGUCAUCCUAUACAUGUUACUUUGAACCUUGCUUUUAAAAUUUCAUGAUGUAUCAUGCAUAUAUCAUGAAUAUAUUACAUAAAUCAUGGCUAUUAUCAUCCAGGGUUUGGUCCUUGGAUCGCUUCUCUAGCCCACCUAUUAUUUCCUUGGUGAUAUCAUUCAGUUCCAAGUCACUACAAAUCUUUAGGUUGUUGACUUCUAAAUUUAUACUGUCAAAUGGGACGCUUGUCUGAAUUUUAGACUUGAACAACCUACUGCCUACCCAUCUUCACUCUUGGCCUAUGUCAUAGGUACUUAAACUUAACAAAUCCAACAUGAAAAACCUAACGUUCUCCCCAAAACAGACUCUACUUGUGCUCUGCCCCAUCUUAGUUAAUAGAAAUUCCAUCACUCCACUGUCUCAGCUCCCAACAAUCCUGUAUUUUGCAUGUGAGUCCUCUCUGUCUUUCUAAUGCUACAUCAAGUCCCUCAGCAAAUCCUUCCGGCUGUCUUUCAGAGUAUAUUCAAAGUCCAACCACUUCUAACCUCCUGCAUCAUCUCUGUCCCAGUGUAAGCCACCACUGUCUCUCACGUGCAUUAUUGCUCUAGUUGCCUCACUGACCUCUCUGCUUCCGCCUUUAUUCCACGCGUUCAAGUCUUUAUUCAAAUAUCACCUUUUCAGUGAACACUUGUUCACCCACCCAUUUUAAAACUGCACCCAUAACAUUCUGUACCUGUUUUCUAAGACUUAAUUUUAUACACAACACUUACUAACUUUCAAUAAUAUAAUUAUUGUAAGUAUACAGUAUAAUAGAGUGCUUUCAUUAUUUUGUCUCUGUCCAAGCCACAAUGGCAGAAAUUUUUGUGCCUUUUUUUUUUUCACUGCCAUAUCCUCAGAACAAGAUUUGGCCUUUAGUAGGUGCUCAAUAAAAUUUUGUCAAUUGAUUGGUGAACAUUCUUAUAAAUCUGUGUAUGUGCGUACACACACACAUAAUCUUUUUAUUCUAAUUUUUUAAUAAACUGGUAUUUUACACAAGUGAGAUUAUACCAAAUGUUAUUUGAUUGUGUCUUUCUAACUUUUCUUCUAUUUUUAUUUCCUAUGUCUACUGUUUUUCUUGCCUCACAUUUGCUCCUUCCCCUCUCCUCAACCCUUGUUAACAACCAGAAAUUCAUCUUUUUAUGCAGUUUCUUCAUGCUUCUGUAACAAUUUACAAACAUAUAGACAUCAAUUCACUAUAAAUGCAUAAACAAAGGGAUUUGGGAAUUCAUUGUUUGCUUUAUAAAAACUCAAUUAUAUCUUACAUACAUUUCUCUACAUCUUAUUUUUCUUACUUUUUCAGUAGUUAGUAUAAAUCCCAUCAAGUUAACUCUUAUUAGUCAAAUUAAUUUCAGUGGCUGCUCAGUAUUCCAGGAAGACUACAGAUGAACUAAAAUCUGUUUAGUCUUAUCUGACUAUGAGUAUGUCUUUUGUUUCUAAUUUUUUUCCCCCAUGAGACAAUGUUGCAAUAAACACCCUUGCAUACUGUUCCUUUUGGUUCUACAGGAUAGAUUCCUGGGAGUGAGAGUCCAAGGGUCUUGGGACAAAUUAACCUAGAUCUGAUUCAGAGAACACUUUAAUUUAACAUUUUUUGAAACCUGAAGUAUACCAUUAUUAUUAAAUUAAUAUUUAGUAUGUGCUUGCUACUUGCCAUAAAAAUUUCCUCUUUAAUUCUUAUAGCAACAUUGACAGUUGAAUAUACCCAUCUUAUAGAUGAGAGAUUAAAGGCCCAGAGAGGAGAACCAUUCUCAGGCACAAGUCACCCUUGCCCUGUUCCUCAGUCUUAUCCCCAGUCUUGAUAUUCAGGCCUAGAGCAUUCUCUCCUAUUCCUCCAAGGAAAUCUAUCAGAUUGUAAAGCAAAGAGGCUUGCUGGUGGCCUGUGCUGACUAACUGAGGGCCCUACAUCAGCAGACAGAUUAGGUCUCAUCUCUUCCUCAACACAGUAGGACACUGUCUUCAUUCAUUGCUAUGCUUUUCCUGAGUUGAGCUGUCAGGAAGGAACUCUGUUCUCUUUAAUCUCUGGAGCUUGGAGCCCAGCUCAGUGUCUGCCACAUUUCAGUGAAUUAACCUGUGGAUAACUACGAUGAUGGGCCAUGGACUUGACGUUUGCUCUGAUCUAAGACAUGGGUCUGAUCCCAGUCCCCAGGGAAGUGUACCUGCAUAGUCGCAUUUCAUAGGACAAAUGACCACCAUCCCCAUUCCCAAGCCUCUGAUCUUCCAGUGCAACUGCCUUGCAUGAUAACGAGUCAGGAAUAGAGCAGAAAUAAUAAUGGCUACUGUGGAUGGUGUUGUGAAUUACAUGCCCAAUUUAAUGGUAAAGUUAUUGCAUGGAUUAUCUCAUUUAGUCUUCAUAACACUGGAUAGAAAGGAUUGAUAUCUUCCCUGUUUUAUAGAUGAGGACCCUAAAGCACAGGAAAACUAAGUAACUUGCUAAUGUGACACUCCAAAUGGCAGAGCUAGGCUUCAAACCAAGGCAAGAUGACUCCAGUACCUGAGUCUUUAAAAGGGAGAUGGCAAAACAAUCCCUUCAUGACAUUUCAGAAAUUGUCUUGAACUCCACAGGGGGCUUUGCUUUGUUCUGGCAUGAACAAGACAGAGCAGUAGACCUGGAGCUGACCCAGGGGUGAGGCAAGAGUACCAGAUUCCUGUCCUGGCUCCAACAACGCACAUUGGCAUCCUAAGCUACUGUCUUCAUUUGUAAAGUGACAGAUGGAGCAAGCUGGUGAUGACAAAGGUGCUGUGGUUUUUUCAGUCAGACAAAUACUAAAGUUGACUUCAUCACUCACUGUGAGUGCUAGGCCAGGUGACUUAAUCAUUCCAAACAUCCACCCAACCCCACUCCCAUGUGGAGAGGGUAUAUAAAGCCUUAUAAUUAUAUAAGCUGCUGAAACAGAUAAAUGUGUGAUACAGAGAGAAAAGUUCAGGUGAAACAUAUGGCACAUGAUCAGAUCAGCACACCAGACAUGCCAGGUCCUCCUGUAGGUGAGUCUGGAAGUGUAAUGUGGUUCUCAGAGCUCCUGCCUCUCCUUAGCACCUUUAUUGCCAUUGGCAUCCCAGCCCCAGCCACCUUCGUGAUCUGUAGCUCUGGGGUUUGUGGCUUGGAUGUUUAUGGAGUGCGGCUUCCUGGCAGCCACGAUUAAUGCCAGGAUUCUCCCCAUGGCACCUUGUUUUAACAACUCCCUUUUCUUGGCACAACCUAUGACUGCCCUGGAUAUAGAAUUUCUGUGAUCUCUCAACAUCUUCUGCCUGAAGGCCUUGAGGGAGUCUGAGUAAUCCUGCCACUCUUCUUCCUUUUCCUUUCUUGGACUCUUUACUAAGGGAAUGCUACACACAAGGGGAAAAAAGGAAAAAAAAAUUCUCUCUCAACUGGAAGAAAAAUGCUUUGUUAACAGCCAAGAAUUCAGUACCUACUAAUACACAGACCUCUGAUAACUUUGAGGUAGAAGGUGAUAGAGUAGGGAUGAAGUGGGAUGUCUUGUCCCCCUCAUAUUUGAAGACUGGGACUCAUGGGCUAAAGCUUGUCUACAGGUAUUUAGGUGGACAUUUAGGUACCCGCUUAGGCACCAAGUUCAAUAUAUUCACUCAACCAAGCAGUUGGGGUGAGAAGAGGGAAGCUAAGAAGGAAACCAGCCUCCCUAGAGCUCAGGCCCUGCCUGGGAGAGUUUAUAGCACUAAGAGGCAGAAUAAGAAAGAGACAGGGCUACCUACAAGGCACAAUGGCCUUGCUCUCCAGUUAAUGUGGGCUCUGAUUGGUUGACUUAACAACAUCCCUUUCUGGAAGAAGGAUUCAGGAAGGAAUAGAGACAGAUAGGACUGGCAAGAAAAAUAGUCUUCAACAUUUGAAGGAAAAGUUCUAGAAAUCUCCUCCCUCUAUGAUCUGUUAAUCACAAAGGAUUCUUCAGUGUAUCCUCUUUUCAAACAUCCAGGUAAUUUACUUAAUUAAGGAAAAAAACAUUCUUGUGAAAUUCCUAAAUUAUCAAGGUGAAAAGGAUCAUUGAAGGCAUCUAGUCUACCAACCCAUCUUCAGGACUAAACUAAUAAACUAAACUUUAGAAAGAAGUGAUUUGCCUAAAGUAGAAGAAUCUCAGGGUUCCAGAUUGCUUACCCAGCUCUCUCCCCCUACACCAUAGCACGUAAUUUUGAAAUGCUGUUACAUUGCUUUUAGUCCUUUUCCUCUUAUGUUUCUUUCUUCUUGUCCCUUUUUGUCUUUUCUUCUCAUCCUAUACAUACCUAUAGCCAGGAAGAAUUUACUCAGAUACACAGGAGACUAUUAAAAAGGCAAUUCAUUCCAAGGUAUGUACUCAGUAGUAGUAAGUGUACAUAUUCACUGAAACAAUUACACAUAAAUGCUCUUGUCAGAUUUAUAAUACUCUGAAACAACUCAUAUGUUCAUCAAUGGAAAUAUGGGUAAAAAAUGAUGUAUUUAUACAAGAGAAUGUGAUACAGCAAUAAAAAGAACAAACAGUGGUAAACUCAACAACGUGGGUGGGUUUUAAAGAGGUUAUAUUAAAUAAGAGAAGCCAGACACAGAGGACAGUGUAUUCUAUGAUUCAAUUUGUAUGAAGUUCAAGAAUGGCCAAAAGUAAUCUGCGUGAUAAAAGCCAGAAUAAUGGGCUGAAGUCUGGUAGCUAUUGGUUGGGAAGUGGCCCAAGUUAAGCUUAUGGGGACUUGAUGAUAUUCUAUAUCUUGUUCUGGGUGUUAGUCAUAUGGGAGAAUACAUAUAGAAAAAUGCAUUGGCUUGGGCACUUUAAGUAUAUAAAUUAUACCUAAGUUUAAAAAAAAAUCUUUGAAAGGGCAAUAGAAAAGUUGGAAGUAUGCUGAUGGGAAGAGGACUAACAUACCCAAAACAGGCUAACAAAAUUACUGAAAUUGAAUAUCAAAUUUAAUUUUGGGAUAGCAGCCAGUGAAAAAAUUCCUAAUCAUUUGUCCCUCCCAUUUUCUUAAAUACAAAUUAAAAUCAUCAGGAGAGCAAUAUUUUAACAGCAAUAUUCUUUUAAAAGUAACUUAUGUAGUAUUUUAAAUAAAAGACACUGAAUAAUAUAAUGGUCAAAAUCUCUGAGAAAACUCAUUAGAAGUGUUGAGCUGUCUUACUAUGCCCAUUUUUUCCUAUCAGUCUUUUACAAAGCUAACACUUACUGUGAAAUAUAAUGAAGAUAUGUUCUUAGAGGAGAAGAAGCAAAUGAGAGCCAAGUGACCAUCCGGUGGCUAACUCCCUAGAGACAGUGCUUAGUCCAGCACACCUCAACUGUGACAUGCACAGAAUCACCUGGGGGUCUUGUUAAAACGUGACAUGGAGUCAGUAGGCCAGGAGUGGGGCCAAGAGUCUGUGUUUCUGGCAGAUCCCCAGGUGAUGUUGCUGCUGUUGGAUCAAGGACCACACUUUGAGUUACAAGGGCUUAUACUGCUCUGGAAGUGUUCAGCCAUCAUUUUUACUGUUUGUAUUGGAAUUAUUUGCUAAAUAUCAGAUUUCUCGGCUCCUUCUCCACAGAAGGCAGGACAAGGGACACUGCUUUUUUCUAUUUCAUAAAUUCCAAGAAGAUUAUGGCAAAACCUAAAUAUUUGGAGCCACUGACUUAGAAGAAAAUGAACUUAUGGCAAGCCCCUUACAGUUCUCCAGUAAGUGUAGCUGCUGCAGCUGGGUUUACAUAUCAGGAGAAAGGAAGGGAAAGAACAUAGUUUCAGUGUCUUAUAGGCAUCAGUUGCUUAUUGGAUAUGCAGUUAAUCUUAGUUCAUUUAAUUCUAAUGAAUAUCCUAUGAAGUAGAAAUUAUUGUUAAUAUUUUAGAGUUAAAAAUAACACUGUGAUCAUCAUUGAGCACCUACUGUGUUCCAGACAUUGUACUAAAUGCUUUAAAGGUACCCUCUCAAAAAGCAACCCAAUGAAAUAGGCUCUGUUGUUUCAUUUCAGUUUUCCAGCUGAAGCAAUGCAGCAGCAGAGAAGCUGAACCAGUCUAGGGUCUGUCUGACUCUCUAGAGCUCGAGCAUCAGCAUGCAUGCAGGAUCCUUUCAAUCAAUGUCACGCAGGAAGCAGCAAGGCCAGGAUGCAACCCAGACAUUUUUAUUUUUUAUAUUUAUUUAUUUAUUUGCCUUAACUAUAACAAUUUGACCAAUUGGCACAUGUUAUUUUCCUUUCAUUUUGCUUUUAUUACUCCAUUCUUCAAUUAUUUUGCUUUGAGGAAUAUCAGUAAAAAGACUCAGGGGCUCAGACUGUAAUGAUUAACAGCUGUAUAAUAUUUGUCAGUUUAAGAUUGUGUACAAGAUACUUUGGCUGAUUUGAUUUACCAAACCACAUAUAUCCUCAUCUUAUGAAUGAGGAAACCCUGGGACAGGAAGAUGUAAUUCACUCAUCUGGAUUCAUACUCCAGACUCCUCACUCCAAGUCUGCGAGUUUCCACUGGGCCACGCUGCCAAGGGAAAAGACAGCAGGAAAUAAAGUGGGGGAGUGAGAAAGACAACCACUUGGGAACCAGCAGCACUGAGUUUUAGUCCUGGCCCUGCCUCUAGCUGGAUGCAACCUCAGGCGAUCUGGUUUCUCUCUUUGCGCUGUAAGUUUUUAAUCUGAAAGUAAGGGUUUAGAAUAAACCAGUUAUUUUAAAGUAGUGUUGGAUCAUGUUUACCAAGACCCCUUCUUUAAAAGAAAUCUUACAGUGAACCAUUAACUCCUAAAGAAAACCUUAUAGCAGAUAGUUAACAACUGGAGCCCCGGGGACCCACCCCUUCUCGUUCUAGGUUGGGUCGGGAAUCACGUCUGUUUUGUUCACUGAGUUCUUACGGUGUCUGACAUAGUAGAUGCUUAUUAAAGGCUUGUUGAAUGAGUAAGUCUCUUCUAUGGAGUCCCUGGAGCUCUGCGGACACAGUAUAGAGACCAUUGACCAACAAGUCUCAAGAUUUCCUGUGGUUCCAAGAGGCACAUUUCUGAUAAACUAAAGCUUCUUGUAAGAGUUGAGACCAAAAGCAGAGAUUUCUCCAAACAUCCCUUCAUAUACGGGGACCUCAGAUACUUCCAGGCAGAGACAGAAUUCUGCAGCGCUGUGUUUUACAUCACGCUGUAUAAUAUGCUUAAGGAUCAGAUGUUUUAUCUUACGUUCUUUCUCAAGAAAAUACAAACUGAAUACCAAAAUGGACAAAGAACUAGGUUUACUAGGUGACUUCUUUUAAAGUUUUUUCCCUUGCUGUGAACUCUGUGCACAAAUUGCUCUCCUAACUCUUCUGUAAAUUUCCCGGAUUCUCUUAAAAACUAAUUUUAUUUGAAUGUUGU